UCUGAUGCAGCGAUGCCGCGUGAGUGAAGAAGGCCCUUGGGUUGUAAAGCUCUUUCGUCGGGGAAGAAAAUGACUGUACCCGAAUAAGAAGGUCCGGCUAACUUCGUGCCAGCAGCCGCGGUAAUACGAAGGGACCUAGCGUAGUUCGGAAUUACUGGGCUUAAAGAGUUCGUAGGUGGUUGAAAAAGUUGGUGGUGAAAUCCCAGAGCUUAACUCUGGAACUGCCAUCAAAACUUUUCAGCUAGAGUUUGAUAGAGGAAAGCAGAAUUUCUAGUGUAGAGGUGAAAUUCGUAGAUAUUAGAAAGAAUACCAAUUGCGAAGGCAGCUUUCUGGAUCAUUACUGACACUGAGGAACGAAAGCAUGGGUAGCGAAGAGGAUUAGAUACCCUCGUAGUCCAUGCCGUAAACGAUGUGUGUUAGACGUUGGAAAUUUAUUUUCAGUGUCGCAGCGAAAGCAAUAAACACACCGCCUGGGGAGUACGACCGCAAGGUUAAAACUCAAAUGAAUUGACGGGGACCCGCACAAGUAGUGGAGCAUGUGGUUUAAUUCGAAGAUACGCGCAGAACCUUACCAACACUUGACAUGUUCGUCGCGACUUUAAGAGAUUAAAGUUUUCGGUUCGGCCGGACGAAACACAGGUGCUGCAUGGCUGUCGUCAGCUCGUGUCGUGAGAUGUUGGGUUAAGUCCCGCAACGAGCGCAACCCUCACUUUUAGUUGCCAUCAUUAAGUUGGGCACUCUGAAAGAACUGCCAGUGAUAAGCUGGAGGAAGGUGGGGAUGACGUCAAGUCCU
rnacentral:rRNA from 1 species